rnacentral:lncRNA from 1 species
AACUGUGGGAGUUCUUGUACCAAUUUGCCUUCUGAGGAUGUUGUUGAAGAUUUGGGCGACAUCCUUUUUGCCCUCAAAAUCAAUUAGCUGCAAGUCAGCUACAAGGGUACUAAGGAGACCACUGUUGUACAGCUCCUGAGCAAGCUGUGCCACAGCUUCUGUUUGUGGCUCUUUUUCAUUUGUGCCAUAUAAGAUUUCUUUCAUGGCAACAAGGUUUUUUGAGACCUCCUCAGUUGCCUUUUCUGCCUUCUUGUCAGAUAUAUCCUGCUUUUCUAGCACUGCCAUACUCUCCUUCAGGUUCUUCACUAUGUCUGCAGGAGACUUGUGGGAUUUGCCAAAGGGGAACGGCAUGAUUGCGAGCCACCAGGUCUUCCUUCUACAGCUCCUGCUUCACCUGGGCCGCGGCCUGGCGCCUCCUCGGCGUCGCGUCCGGCGGGGCCUGCCCCUUGCGCGGCACGACCGCCCGGCUCCGGCGGCUGCAGGCUGAGGCGCGGCCCGGCCCCCGCCCCGCGGUGCUGCGGCGCCGCAGCUGCCCGUCCCUCGCGCCCGUCCUCGCCCGGCGGCGGAGCGCGGCGAGCAGCCGGCGGCGGCAGCGGCGGCGGAACGCGGCGACGCUUCCGCCCGCCGCCACACGCGGGCGCCCCCUGCCGGAGCGGAGGUCCGAGAGCGCCGCGCUCUGCCCGGGGCGGGGCUGUUGGUGCGGCCGAGGGGCGGCCCGGCCCGGCCCGUGCGGCGGGGUGCUGGGCCGAAGGGUUCAGGAGGGCCCGAACCUCCCGGCAGCGGUUGCGCGGCCGCUGCAGAGGCCUUGGGGGGCCCGGAGGGGCAGAGCAGCGCCUCGGGCCCCGCUGCCGUACGCCGUGUGUGACGAGCGCAGAUGAGCCCGGGCGGAACAAAGGCACACGCGUGCCGACGUGCGUCAGGGCGAUGCCGUCCGUUAGGUGUAAUCCACAGCGUGAGUUGAAAGCAGAAAAAUAAAACGCGUUCCAUAAGAACAAGACGCUGACUUCUUACAAGCUACGAUUUUCGAUGCCAACUUGAACCUGUGUGCCGGGUGUGUCACUGCUGAGCAGCAGCUGGGCUGUGCCGGCUCCGUUUUCUGGAAGGGAAUUGGAACUGAAGGAAUCGAAGAGGCAGCCAGGGCCUGCUGGCGUCCCCAGGGUGGAGGUCACACACAGCAGCCAGCUCCUCCAACCUGAAUGUGAAGGAGCCAGGAGAAGGUCUGGAGAGAAACGUGAAGGCUGACUGGAGCCUCUUGCUGGCGAAAGGCCAUCUGGUGUUUCUUUGUGAAAGGAGUGGAAAUGGGAGGUCAGAGAGAAGUCCUGGAGAGAAUAAGGAUUCCCUCAAGCCGUCACGAGGUGACUGGGCAGGUGAAAAGCAUAAGAAAGUUCCAUAAUGACACCUGAAUGAUUGCAUUGGAUUUUCCCCUGCACCAACACACAGCUCUUGGGACCUGAAGGGUCUCCCUGACAAAGUUCCCAUCCCCAACACCCAGCUAGAAGUGUAACAAAGCUAAAAGCAACAGAAAACAGCACUCAAACAUAAGCAAAGUAAGUCUUCAUACCCAGACAGCAAGGACAGCAGCAACCAUUGGCCCAGGAAACACGCAGCUCAGCAGAGCUCAGCUGAUGUGCCCAAGCAGCACACUCAGCCAUUGCGUUGUUCUGUGUGUUGGCAUUUUUGGGUCCAUGUGUUCGUGCAUUCUGCCCUGUGUCUUUUAUCAGCCUGCCAGCAACCUCCAGUAUUUCACAGUCCAACUUCUCACCCUUGUGAGACAUUCUCAUUCUUGGAUCCUUUGCAAGCCAUCCACCUGCAGCAUCCCGUUCUGUUCGCUGUUCAGAGUCCCCUUGUUCUCCCUGAGACCCACUGCACUGUGCUGAAGGAAGCAGUAAGCGCCUUAACCAUGGAAUCUGUCACUAAAAUAAAUCUUUUUAAAGGAGAGAUAGAUCUUAUGAGCACUGAGAGGACUCUGGAGGGGGGAUCCUAGUAUUGGAGGUAUUCCCCUUCUCCAAGGAGCAGCAGCAAUGGUAUUUCUGGGUAACGAGAACAUUGAAAAGGCUGUUAAAGACAAAAUGAGAUCCUGGUGCUGUCUCUGCUGCAGAGAGAUGUCCUGGAACCUGUGAGAUGCUCUGCCUCCUUGUGCACUGCACUGCCCACGUGCAUCAGCCUGCUUUGUCAGCUCAGGAAAACACUUCUGACCACACUUGCAACAAUCCCUGAGUCUGACAACAUCAAAGUUCAUACCUAUUUGCAUUCAGCUACAUGGCGAGCUGCAGUGGUGCUGCACCCGUGGGGAUGUUUUCCUGAACAACUGGAAGAUGGGACAGGAAAAAAACAUCCACUUGUGAUGACUGUUCAUCUCAUAGACAGACAGAGCAGCUCUGGACCUGAAUGCAUGGUGGGAUGUGCUGCCCGGGCAGGUGACAAGGCUGCUGGGGAUGGUUGGCCAGGCUUGCCUGGGCCCACAGCAUGUGGCUGGCAGAAUGUUGGCACUUUGUAUAUCCCGCAUGUGAGCUGGAAAUAAUUGUUUUCAAAGCCAGCUUUGAAAGGGUGUGUAUGUCUGAGCUCAAAUUGUUAGCCUGUAAUUAUGCUAAAAACAUUCAAGUUUAAACAGAUAAUAUUCAGGGUACUGAAUAGAGAGAAGGAAGGAUUAAAGACAAGCACCGGUACAAUGAUUCAACAGAGCACCUGGAAAAGAGACACUACUGCUUUACAGAUGACCACUGGAAAAAAAAGACCAUGCAAGUAAUGCAUUCAGUGUAAUUAUCAUCACCAUGUAGUGUCCUUCAGGGAAAUCUGUGAGCAGGGGGAGCAUGGUUCUUCCAAGCUCUCAGAAAUUAAAUUCAUGUGAGAGACCUCUUGGUACAAUAGCAAUUCACUAAUUCACAGCCCUGACCAAGACAGCCAUUGUGAAUUACUUAAUUCUUGCAAAUUAGGAAGUGAAUAAACAUGACUCAAAAAUUCAAGUUACUUCACUGAAGAAAAAAAACCAACCAGUUAUAAAGGCAGCACUCAGAUGCUCUGCUUUGUAGGAGCAGCCAGCUGAAUGGGAUCUUAAGGCUCCAAGGGCUCAUUUGGCUCAGCCCAAAACCAGCCAACACAUCCCUGCAAGGACAGCACGCUUGCAGGGUGUUACUCACAUGAGGAUGGUUUCUUUAAGACAUCAGCGACAUAAGACAUCUAAAAUAUGAUUUUGAAGUAACAAAGACAGCAAAAGCAGCUGAUGGCCAAAGUUUGAUUUACUUUUUUUCCCACUUAAAAAAGGAAAAGAGACACAGCAGCAGCUGGGGCCAGUACCACCAUAGCACCAAGGCAGUGCGGUUUGCUGCAGGGCCAAGUGCUGUCAGACACGCAGGCAUGCCGUGUUUCCCUCCCACCAAAUAUGGAGCCAAGCUGCUCAGCCACUAACACGCAUUUUACAGCCAUGAUGUAAUGACACCCAACCUCUUGCUGCUGUAUCUGAUGAAAAAGAGCUUUGGGUCUGCUCAGAGAAGCAGAGGCGGCAGCAGUCUCCUCUCUGCAUCCCCUCUUCCUCCUGACAGACCCCACUGCCCCGGGGUCUCUGUCCCACCAUGUCCCCGAGGAUGUCCCUUCCCAAGAAUCAGGGUCUGGGAAUGCAGUGGAGAGCCCAGAAAGGAAGGAGGGAAUGGGGAACAUCCACACAGAUGGGUAAGUAAAAACAGAGGGAGAACUGUAGAGAGCAAGGAAGUAGAGGACAGCACGUUUUAAACAUCUUGAACUACGCUGCUGACACUUCGUGGUUACUCUCAUCCUUACUUGGGAACAUGGGUGCUGCCCUGCAAAUGGGGAUCAAGGCUUCUUUCUUAAUCCCUCCUCUUCCUUAUUACCUCACGCAGGGAAAGCGAUUCAUCGUUUUAUCUCACUCUGAGCUCUCCCUUGUUUCACCCAGGCAGAGGCGCUGGGAACAGGGGCUAAGGGGAGCAGUAGAAAAAUAGAGCAGGAAGUUAGAAUUAAAUACCCUUACCUCAUGUAUCUCACACCUCCCCACGGGGUUGGCAGGGAAAAGUUCCCACUAACUACAAGGCCAGCUCAAUGGGCAUGACAUAGGGCACGUGAAAAAAUAACGAGUGCCUUGACAGAUAUACAAUGAGGAAAUAACAUAAACCAACACCCAGUUUACUUUUCAUUUCAUGCCUGCUCAGCCAUGGCAAAACACUGAUGUAAUUCAGAGACUGAAACCCAGGCUUGUACCCCUGACAAAGAAUCUCAGAGCAAAGGCUGUGGGGAGAAAAUAUUAAGACUCAGACCUACUCAGGUACCUCUACUUAAAGUCUGGAAGGAAAAGAAUUCUGAGUCUUUCCGUGGACUUUGGACCGGGCCAAGCAGCAGUGGCUGAAUCUAAUCGCCCGCUUUCAGAAGUGCCUGUGAUCCUCCUGAAGCUGCAUUUCAGCCCUGCUGCAGGCUGCGGUUGUUCCUGGCCUCAAAGAAGCACCUGCUGGUGAGCACGCUGCUGUCUGUCUGCUCAUUCGAGCAGCGUGUAAUGGACAGAUCCACACUCCCCAAAAUCUACUUACAACAGAAGCACGAGUACACGGAACGGUCAUCCAGAGCACGAUCCCUUCCUUCUCAUAGCAAUGCUAUGAUUUGUUCCCAAUUCUAGCUGCCAUUUCAGAAUUAAGACUUGCUUUUAAAAUAUGAUUGCAAAUCAUAGGAAUUCGGGGUAGCAUGCAAAGUGUGCCAGAAACAGGAAAACAAUUGCCAGGAAAAUCAUAGGAAAAAACUCUGUUGCAAAUUCAUUUUUCUGUACAGCAACAAGAGCAGCAUGUUCCCCUUCUGAACCAUGUCCUUUUAAUAAAC